rnacentral:sRNA from 1 species
UAUCUCUCCGUACGGGGAAGGAUGAGAAGCUUCGACUAAGGUUCGAUUCGAGCGAAAGCGAGAAAGCGUUGCCGUAGGCAACGACCCGAAGGGCGAAGCGCGCAG